GUGGAGGCGGGGAGGGCACCGCUCCUGCAGGCCCAGAGACGCCAAGGAUGCCCGGAGGCACGAGGAGCAGAGGGGCGUGAAGCUUCUCCACGGCCUCUGCCAGAGCUUCCUCUCCACAUCUGUCUGACGUGGACACUGAGGCAGCGAAUGACUAAACUGCGGGAGGAGGCGGACUGUCAGGCUGGCUCCACAGGAAGACCCAGAAGUCGCACCCAGCCUGACCAGGCAGCCACUCCUCAAGGCUUCAUCUGACACAUGGGGAAACCGAGGCUGGGAGAGGUGGAAGGAUUCCGACACCGCUGGGGAG